CAGUCGCGCGGUAAUACAGAGGGUGCGAGCGUUAAUCGGAUUUACUGGGCGUAAAGCGUGCGUAGGCGGCUUCUUAAGUCGGAUGUGAAAUCCCUGAGCUUAACUUAGGAAUUGCAUUCGAUACUGGGAAGCUAGAGUAUGGGAGAGGAUGGUAGAAUUCCAGGUGUAGCGGUGAAAUGCGUAGAGAUCUGGAGGAAUACCGAUGGCGAAGGCGGCCCCCUGGACAAAGACUGACGCUCAGGUGCGAAAGCGUGGGGAGCAAACAGGAUUAGAUACCCGGGUAGUCCCUGUCUCUUAUACA
rnacentral:rRNA from 1 species